rnacentral:rRNA from 1 species
CCUACGGGAGGCAGCAGUGGGGGAUAUUGCACAAUGGGGGAAACCCUGAUGCAGCGACGCCGCGUGAGUGAAGAAGUAUUUCGGUAUGUAAAGCUCUAUCAGCAGGGAAGAAAAUGACAGUACCUGACCAAGAAGCCCCGGCUAACUACGUGCCAGCAGCCGCGGUAAUACGUAGGGGGCAAGCGGUAUCCGGAUUUACUGGGUGUAAAGGGAGCGUAGACGGCAGCACAAGUCUGGAGUGAAAUGCCGGGGCUGAACCCCGGAACUGCUUUGGAAACUGUGCAGCUAGAGUGCAGGAGAGGUAAGUGGAAUUCCUAGGGUAGCGGUGAAAUGCGGAGAUAUUAGGAGGAACACCAGUGGCGAAGGCGGCUUACUGGACUGUAACUGACGUUGAGGCUCGAAAGCGUGGGGAGCAAACAGGAUUAGAUACCCCUGUAGUC